UGUGUGUCAGUGGAACGGUCUGGAAAGGCCGGCGAUACAGGGUGACAGCCCCGUACACGAAGGCACACAGGCUGUGAGCUCGAUGAGUAGGGCGGGACACGUGAUAUCCUGUCUGAAGAUGGGGGGACCAUCCUCCAAGGCUAAAUACUCCUGACUGACCGAUAGUGAACCAGUACCGUGAGGGAAAGGCGAAAAGAACCCCGGCGAGGGGAGUGAAACAGAACCUGAAACCGUGUACGUACAAGCAGUGGGAGCCUUCGUAAGAGGGUGACUGCGUACCUUUUGUAUAAUGGGUCAGCGACUUAUAUUCUGUAGCAAGGUUAACCGUAUAGGGGAGCCGAAGGGAAACCGAGUCUUAACCGGGCGUUAAGUUGCAGGGUAUAGACCCGAAACCCGGUGAUCUAGCCAUGGGCAGGUUGAAGGUUGGGUAACACUAACUGGAGGACCGAACCGACUAAUGUUGAAAAAUUAGCGGAUGACCUGUGGCUGGGGGUGAAAGGCCAAUCAAACCGGGAGAUAGCUGGUUCUCCCCGAAAGCUAUUUAGGUAGCGCCUCGUGAAUUCAUCUCCGGGGGUAGAGCACUGUUUCGGCUA
rnacentral:rRNA from 1 species